AAUUCUCAACCUUUGAAGCUUUUUUUGAGCUCGCAAAGGCUUGGACUUGGAGGUCGUGUCGGCUCGUAACAAAGUCGACUCCUCUGAAAUGUAUUAGUGUGAAACCUUCGCAGGAUCGCCUUCGGUGUGAUAAUCGUCUACGCCGUCGGUUGUGAAAGUCGAAACAUACGUGUUCACGCUUCUAAUCGUCCGUCGAGGACAAACUUUUUUCUUGACC
rnacentral:misc_RNA from 1 species